GAGUUUGAUCCUGGCUCAGAUUGAACGCUGGCGGCAGGCCUAACACAUGCAAGUCGAGCGGAUGACGGGAGCUUGCUCCUUGAUUCAGCGGCGGACGGGUGAGUAAUGCCUAGGAAUCUGCCUGGUAGUGGGGGACAACGUUUCGAAAGGAACGCUAAUACCGCAUACGUCCUACGGGAGAAAGCAGGGGACCUUCGGGCCUUGCGCUCUUGGAGCGGCCGAUGUCGGAUUAGCUAGUUGGUGAGGUAAAGGCUCACCAAGGCGACGAUCCGUAGCAGGUCUGAGAGGAUGAACUGCCACACUGGAACUGAGACACGGUCCAGACUCCUACGGGAGGCAGCAGUGGGGAAUUUUGGACAAUGGGGGCAACCCUGAUCCAGCCAUGCCGCGUGAGUGAAG
rnacentral:rRNA from 1 species